UACGGAGGGAGCUAGCGUUAUUCGGAAUUACUGGGCGUAAAGCGCACGUAGGCGGCUUUGUAAGUAAGAGGUGAAAGCCCAGAGCUCAACUCUGGAAUUGCCUUUUAGACUGCAUCGCUUGAAUCAUGGAGAGGUCAGUGGAAUUCCGAGUGUAGAGGUGAAAUUCGUAGAUAUUCGGAAGAACACCAGUGGCGAAGGCGGCUGACUGGACAUGUAUUGACGUUGAGAUACAAAAGUGUGAGGAGCGAACAGG
rnacentral:rRNA from 1 species